GACCCAGUGGGAGGUAACGGAAUCACGGGGGCUGGUCUUUCCUGUGCUAGUCUCGUGAUAGUGAAUAAAUCUCACGAGAUCUGAUGGGUUUAUCCGGUGUUUCUGCUUUUGCUUCCUCCUCAUUUUUCUCUUGCUGCCACCACGUGAGAAGUGCCUUUCGCCUCCCGCCAUGAUUCUGAGGCCUCCCUAGCCAUGGGGACCUGUAAGUCCAAUGAAACCUCUUUUUGUUCCCCGUUUUGGGUAUGUCUUUAUCAGCAGCGUGAAAACGGACUAAUACACCCUCUCCCUACCAGCGGGUGUAGUCUGAUGAGGUCUAUGCGGCAGCGUUGGGUGGCAGCCAUGGAGGAAUGCUGUUGAAAUGUCCCUUCUGUCCUCAGGGGCCUUCAGAAGCCACCUGGUCGUCGCUGCCCUCAGCCUCCAGAUGCAGCCCCCCUGCCACCUUCAGGACCCCUGGCUCUCCCCUGGACUCAGUAGCGAAAGGGUUUAUGUGCUCGGAGGGAGACCUUCAGGAAUCUGUGCAUAGAAUGCCAUAGUGCAGAGGAAACAGCCCCAGAAAAUGGAACAGCUGCUAAGUGAGACUCCUCAGCCAGGCCAGAGAAUGUGCAUUCUGACGGACUGCUUCUCAUUUGCACUGAUCACUGUGAGUGUCUGAUGGGUGGGCAUCCGGCGCCCAGAGAAGGAGUUGCUCUAUUAUCCUGGCACUCCAUAAAGAACAGGUAGAAAUAAGCGCUUCUUACCAAGAUGAAAUCCACCCAUCAUUUCUGAAUGGCUCAGUUUUGAUUUCAUCUCCCAAGGUCUUCUUUCUGAAACCAGCCCAACUUUUCUCCCAGAGAGUAUCAUGGAACUGAACUUUCAAGAUCAUGGCAUCUGGACAUCGAGAAAACAGAACCCUCAUCUGGCCACCUGCUGCUUUUUGACCAAUUCCCAUAUAAACCGCUAACUUCAGUCAGUUGGAGGGAUGGAUUUGAGAUUUGCCUUCUGUCUCUCAGGUGAUGUCACCAGCAAUAAAGCCUUCUUCCCUGGCAAUACU
rnacentral:lncRNA from 10 species